GCUUGUCUCAAAGAUUAAGCCAUGCAUGUCUCAGUAUAAGUUCCUGUACGGCGAAACUGCGAAUGGCUCAUUAAAACAGUUACAGUUUAUUUGAUGGUCGUUCCUUACAUGGAUAACUGUGGUAAUUCUAGAGCUAAUACAUGCGCAAAGUCCCAACUUUCGGGGAGGGAUGUAUUUAUUAGACGAAAAACCAAUGCGGGUUCUGCCCGGUUUUGCGGUGAUUCAUAAUAACUAGUCGAAUCGCAUGGCUUUUUGCCGGCGAUGGUUCAUUCGAAUUUCUGCCCUAUCAGCUUUCGACGGUAGUGUAGUGGACUACCGUGGCAUUAACGGGUGACGGAGAAUUAGGGUUCGAUUCCGGAGAGGGAGCCUGAGAAACGGCUACCACAUCCAAGGAAGGCAGCAGG
rnacentral:rRNA from 1 species